CAGUAGCCGCGGUAAUACGUAGGGUGCGAGCGUUAAUCGGAAUUACUGGGCGUAAAGCGUGCGCAGGCGGUUCGUUAAGACAGAUGUGAAAUCCCCGGGCUUAACCUGGGAACUGCAUUUGUGACUGGCGAGCUAGAGUAUGGCAGAGGGGGGUAGAAUUCCACGUGUAGCAGUGAAAUGCGUAGAGAUGUGGAGGAAUACCGAUGGCGAAGGCAGCCCCCUGGGCCAAUACUGACGCUCAUGCACGAAAGCGUGGGGAGCAAACAGGAUUAGAUACCCCGGUAGUCCCUGUCUCUUAUAU
rnacentral:rRNA from 1 species